UACGUAGGGGGCGAGCGUUGUCCGGAAUCAUUGGGCGUAAAGCGCACGUAGGCGGCUUUGUAAGUUGGAUGUGAAAGCCCUCGGCUCAACCAAGGAAGUGCAUCCAAAACUACAGAGCUUGAGUACUUAAGAGGAUCGCGGAAUUCCCGGUGUAGCGGUGAAAUGCGCAGAUAUCAGGAGGAACACCGGUGGCGAAGGCGGGACUCUGGGCCGAUACUGACGCUGAGGAGCGAAAGCGUGGGGAGCAAACAGG
rnacentral:rRNA from 1 species